rnacentral:rRNA from 1 species
AGAGUUUGAUCCUGGCUCAGGGUGAACGCUGGGAACGUGGAUACCGGCAUGCAAGUCAAGGGGCCCGCAAGGGCACCGGCGAACGGCUUAGUAACACGUAGGUACAUACCGCAAAGUGGGGCACAGCUCGUCGAAAGACGGGGUAAUUUCCCAUAGUCCCGUAAGGGUAAAGCAGCAAUGCGCUUUGCGAAUGGCCUGCGGCCUAUCAGCUUGUUGGCGGGGUAAAAGCCCACCAAGGCGAUGACGGGUAGGGGGUGUGAGAGCACGGCCCCCAAGAGUUGGACUGCGACACGGCCAACACUCCUACGGGAGGCUGCAGUCGAGAAUCUUCCGCAAUGAACGAAAGUCUGACGGAGCGACGUUCCGUGAAGGAUGAAGCCCUUCGGGGUGUAAACUUCUUUUGUAUGGGAAAAAGUUAUUGAUUGUACCCAUAGAAUAAAGGGCC